AUGCAGCUGACGAGUCCCAAGUAGGACGAAACGCGCGUCCUGGAU
rnacentral:hammerhead_ribozyme from 1 species